UAUCUAAAUAGUUUAUUAAAACAUUGAUUUGUGGAAUCAAAGAUAUAAUUUUAUUUUAGAUAA
rnacentral:tRNA from 1 species